UGUAAAUCCCAAAAAAAAAAAAAAAUCAAAUUAAAAAUAAAUAAUAAAACAUGUAUUUUUCCAUUUUGCAGUUCAUUCAUAUCAGUUUAUAUUUAUAUAUAUAUUUAUAUAUAUUUAUUAUAUCUAAAUAUUUUGCUCACAGAUCAUUAUUAACAUUCUUUAUAUAAUUCAAUUUUAUUUACUCUCCCCAUUUUAUUAUUUUUAUUUUUAUUUUUAGCUGAAAAGACAUAAAGGCAGUCAGCCCAGUGGUGUUUCUGGAGAGGGAUUCCUUCAGAAAUGGAGAAGACAGAAAGCUGCGGAGGCAGAUAUAUGCAGCAGAUUGUUUGAGGAUAACGCUGUAGCUCCAUCAUGCACAAGGACUCACCUCGUUUACUCUUUAUCACCCACACACACAGAAAUGGUCCCUGGAUCAGUGAUUAGACUUUGCAGUGGUUUGAUUUUUGCAGAAGAUGUAACUUUGUUUUAAUUAUAAGCUCAUAAUGAAUACAUUACAGAACCAGUGAUGAAAACAAUAGUUAAAAAUAGCGCUCCAUAUUAAAAAUAUAUU